UAUGCAGAGUUUUCUUACAACAACAGUUAUCAAACCAGUUUGAAGAUAGCCCCUUUCGAAGCUUUGUACGGAAGGAGGUGUAGAACACCGUUGUUAUGGGACGAAGUUGGAGACCGUCAAUUGUUUGGACCAGAUUUGAUUAAGGAGUCUGAACAGAAAGUGAGGUUGAUUCGCGAUAGGCUCAAGGUAGCCCAGUCCAGACAGAAGAGUUAUGCUGAUUCCAAACGAAAGGAGACAGUUCACGAAGUCGGAGACAGAGUUUAUCUUCGAGUAUCACCACUUCGAGGAGUGAAGCGCUUUGGAGUUAAGGGAAAGCUAGCGCCCCGUUUUAUCGGACCAUACAGAGUUUUGGAACGUAUGGGAGAAGUUGCCUACAAGCUGGAAUUGCCUGAAGGAUUGUCAGGAGUUCAU
rnacentral:rRNA from 1 species